GUGUAUUCUUCUUUUUGGUUUAUUCAGUUUUUUUUUUAUUUUCUUUUGCCUUGAUGUAAUCACCUAUUAUGAGUUGUCUUAAUCUAAUGAAUUUGAUUUUGUUUACAUACAUUUUCCUGUUUAUUUCGUUGGAUAUGUGACUGCGUCUGGCUAGUGGUUGUCCUCUCAUUCAGUCCCCUUGACUAUAGAUGCUGUUGUUUAUGAUUGGACGCACUGGUUAAGAUUAACAUCAGAACCAAGAGCACAUGAGCUUUGAACUCAUAGGUAUGAUAGAACAAGUCAGCUUAACCCGUCAUGGUGAGAUCAGAAAAAGCCAAACACUUAUCAUCAUAUGAGAGAUAUCAGGUAUGUCUUUAUCAAUCAUGGUUUGCGUAUGUUCUUUUUAUUAUUAGCUGUAUGAAUACACACACUGAGGCAUGUUUUUGUUUAUCACCUAGAGCCUUUCUAGCCAUCCCAUCUAUUAUUAUUAUCCAUUGUUUAACCCUGUUGAGCCUGUUAUUCAUUUGUUUCUGAUAUACCCGUUCUUCUCAAUCCAUGACCUUGUAACUAUCCUAUCCUGUUCAGAGUAUGUGAGGAUUAAUUUCAGCUCUACGUUUCUAUCUAAGUUUGGGGUUGCUGUUGGAAUAGCAACCUUUAAGUUUGGGGUAGCUUUGCAGUAAGUGAAUG
rnacentral:lncRNA from 1 species